GACGAACGCUGGCGGCGUGCUUAACACAUGCAAGUCGAACGGUGAAGCGAGUGCUUUUUCUCGUGGACGAGUGGCGAACGGGUGAGUAACACGUGAGUAACCUGCCCAUCACUUUGGGAUAACCACUGGAAACGGGGUCUAAUACUGGAUACGACCACCCGCUGCAUGGUGGGGGGUUGGAAGGUUUGGUGGGUGGGGGAUGGAUCCGCGGCCUAUCGGCUUGUUGUGGGGGUAAUGGCUCACCAAGGCUACGUGGGGUUGCCGGCCUGAGGGGGUGACCGGCCACAUUGGGACUGAGGCACGGCCCAGACUCCUACGGGAGGCAGCAGUGGGGAAUAGUGCACAAUGGGCGAAAGCAUGAUGCAGCGGCGCCGCGUGCGGGAUGACGGCCGUCGGGUUGUAAACCGCUUUCGGCUGGGAAGAAGCGAGAGUGACGGUACCGGGAGAAGAAGCACCGGCUAACUACGUG
rnacentral:rRNA from 1 species